GGGCCUGUGGCUCAAAAGGGUAGGGCACCGGUCCCACAUGCCAGAGGUAGCGGGUUCAAACCCGGCCCUGGCCCA
rfam:Otolemur garnettii contig022968, whole genome shotgun sequence.